UACAGAGGAGCCAAGCGUUGUCCGGAUUGACUGGGCGUAAAGCGCACGCAGGCGGAUGCGCGCGUGGGGUGUGAAAUCUGGCCGCUUAACGGCCAGGCGCCAUCCCAUACGGCGUGUCUGGAGGGCUGCAGAGGUCGAUGGAAUUGCCGGUGUAGUGGUGAAAUGCGUAGAGAUCGGCAGGAACACCCAGGGGGAAACCGAGUCGAGCUGG
rnacentral:rRNA from 1 species